AAUCAUGUCUGCUUGCUUGAUAACAUGCGACAACAGAACCGUUUACAUCGAAUGUUUUCAAAUUUGAUAACAAAGUUUUCAAAAAUGCUUACAUUGUUAUCACUUUUGACUACAAUCUAUGCUACAAUGCAUUGCAAUGUUGCCUACCUAAAGGCGCAUCCAUUCUUGAGUACCUUUUAUGCGUUACGCAUCUGUCAAAUCUCAGUAAGCCGUGGAGAGAACAACAUAAACAAAACAAAUAAUCGAAUAAAAAAAACUCGUACCAGUUAGUUCCAAGUUCAGCACGUGAAGGAAUGGCGCUUACAGCUGCAGGACCCGAGCAGUGAACAGUGCUCGAUCCGGAUGUUUCGCACGAAACUGCUGGAAUGGAACCGUCUGCCAACUCGUCCAAUGCUGUGGCGUUGGCGAUUCCACGACCACGGUGAAAGAGGACGUUCUACAGGACGGCCACCAAAGGCGGCGGUCAAGUUUGAAACGUUCACGUCAGUCGGGCUGCGGGAUUUGUUCUGGACAAGUUUGAAACGUUCACGUCAGUCGGGCUGCGGGAUCUGUUCUGGACAUGCUCCUGCUCCAGUGCCAAUUAAAAACAUCAGCACCACGCUCAACACUUCCCAAAGCUCCAAAUCUUCUACCAGCGCAGCCGUUUCGGCCGGAAGUGGCCAGCAGACGUGGUUCUACAGCACAAACCGAACAAGCUCAUAGAUAAAAAUUGGAAUUGUUUUAGGUAAGAUUUUUUAGAUCAUAUUCAAAGCCGGGAGAGGCAAAGCACGUCACACCUUUACCAUUUAUUUC